GUGGGGGCACCGCGGGGCUUGUGUGUUCUUUUAUUUAUUUAGAGUGCGUGUAGAUGUGGGGGCGAGCUCGUGCCAUGGUACGCGUGAGGUCAGAGGACAGCUUGCGCGAGUUGGUGUUCGCUUUCCAUCAAUCACGUGGGUCCUGGCGACCGAACUCAGAUCGGCCUGGUGUCCGGUGCCCAGGCAGUCCCUCCGGGCCAACUUCCUCCUGCCCAGCAAGGUUCUGAAAAGUAGUCCCAGAAACUGGUGGGCACCAUCAUCCCAGGAAGGAGGACGGGAAGGCGAGAUACUGGUUCCUCCCAGGUCAUGAUCGGCAGCUUGAAAACUGCCAGAUGGGGACCCCGGCCAGAGACCCUGGGUCCCACGGGUACUCACAGCAUUAUCUGGAUGGAAGACAUAAGAGGCCGGUGAGUUGUCCAAGAUGAGCACCCGCCGCAGGUCUCGGCCCAGCCUGCUCAGGUCCUUUACGUAGUUCCCCCGAUGGAAGACACAUGACUCUCGAAACAGCCGGGCACGGAAGGCUCCCCACUUGUCCAACAGGUCAGCUACGGGGUCUGCAUACUGGGGUGGGGGUAAGUCAGACUCCUGAUUGAGUGGUAAUGCCCAGGGCUGCAUCUAGUUACAUGUUGAAGGUGUGGGAAUUUAGCAGACUCGCUGUAUGGCGUGGACAUUAGGAUGAACAGCUGCUUUUUAGAAGUGUGUUGACCUUGAAAAAUCCUUAUGGAAAACAAUGACUGUUUCCUGUCAUCCGUACACUUGUUUUGCUGAGGGGCUCUGCGGCCAUCCCAUGACUUCGGUCACAAGAUGCCUCGGGCACACCUGAGACUCUUGCAUUACUGUGUAUCGCUUGCGCACGGUACAUAAUAAAGGACCAGAGUCAUGGAGGCAUGUGAUGCUCUCCUUCAGUAAGACAUGGGAAUUAAGACUGGGGAGCUUGGUGUGAGGAAAUACUUUGUGUAACUUUUGAAUAAAUACACCUUCG